UACGUAGGUGGCAAGCGUUGUCCGGAAUUAUUGGGCGUAAAGAGCGUGUAGGCGGUCCGGUAAGUCCGCUGUGAAAGUCGGGGGCUCAACCCUCGAAUGCCGGUGGAUACUGUCGGGCUAGAGUGCGGAAGAGGCGAGUGGAAUUCCUGGUGUAGCGGUGAAAUGCGCAGAUAUCAGGAGGAACACCAAUUGCGAAGGCAGCUCGCUGGGACGUUACUGACGCUGAGACGCGAAAGCGUGGGGAGCAAACAGG
rnacentral:rRNA from 1 species